CAGAUAAGAGACGUCCGGACUAGCCAAGGAGACUGCCUGUGAUCGAGGCCACAGGGAGAGAGCAAAUCAAACGUGCACAAGGUUGUUUAAUGAGCUCGAGCCGCCGCCAUGCCAAGAGGCCACAGGCAAGUCAUCCUUGGCUAUCUGGACAGACUCUUAUCG
rfam:Zea mays cultivar B73 chromosome 7, whole genome shotgun sequence.